rnacentral:rRNA from 1 species
GGUUCCUACGGGGGGCAGCAGUCGAGAAUCAUUCACAAUGGGGGAAACCCUGAUGGUGCGACGCCGCGUGGGGGAAUGAAGGUCUUCGGAUUGUAAACCCCUGUCAUGUGGGAGCAAAUUAAAAAGAUAGUACCACAAGAGGAAGAGACGGCUAACUCUGUGCCAGCAGACGCGGUAAUACAGAGGUCUCAAGCGUUGUUCGGAAUCACUGGGCGUAAAGCGUGCGUAGGCUGUUUCGUAAGUCGUGGGUGAAAGGCGCGGGCUGAACACGCGGGCGGC